GAUGAAGAACGCAGCGAAAUGCGAUAAGUAAUGUGAAUUGCAGAAUUCAGUGAAUCAUCGAAUCUUUGAACGCACAUUGCGCCCGUCAGUAUUCUGGCGGGCAUGCCUGUUCGAGCGUCAUUACGCCCCUCAAGUCCCCUGUGGACUUGGUGUUGGGGAUCGGCGAGGCUGGUUUUCCAGCACAGCCGUCCCUCAAAUUAAUUGGCGGUCUCGCCGUGGCCCUCCUCUGCGCAGUAGUAAAACACUCGCAACAGGAGCCCGGCGCGGUCCACUGCCGUAAAACCCCCCAACUUUUUAUAGUUGACCUCGAAUCAGGUAGGACUACCCGCUGAACUUAAGCAUUGAAUAAGCGGAGGA
rnacentral:misc_RNA from 1 species